rnacentral:rRNA from 1 species
GGCCUAGGGACGCAGCAGUGGGGAAUAUUGCACAAUGGGCGAAAGCCUGAUGCAGCAACGCCACGUGAAGGAAGACGGUUUUCGGAUUGUAAACUUCUGUUCUUAGUGAAGAAAAAUGACGGUAGCUAAGGAGCAAGCCACGGCUAACUACGUGCCAGCAGCCGCGGUAAUACGUAGGUGGCAAGCGUUGUCCGGAAUUACUGGGUGUAAAGGGAGCGUAGGCGGGAACCAA